AGUUUUACGUUCCGGAUGUUUUACAUGUUUCAGAUGUUUUACACGUUCCGGAUGUUUUACAUGUUCCGGAUGUUUUACAUGUUCCGGAUGUUUUACAUGUUCCGGAUGUUUUACAUGUUUCGGAUGUUUUACAUGUUUCGGAUGUAUCUUUCAGAAAUGAAGAUUAUUUUAUCCUAGCCCAAGCCUCCCGCAGGACUCCGGGGGAUGCGUCAUCGUCGGGCAGGCUUGAAACCUGGGACCAUCGAGUCGACAGUCCUGAGUGUAUUCUAUUUGACUAUACAAUAUAUAUAGAAGGCGCUCAUUUUAACAAAAAAAAAAAAAGCAACAAUUUGAAUGAAUUCACGAGACGAAAAGCUAGUACCCGUUAGUAGGCUAAUUGUGACUUUACGAGAUUAAGAAUGAUUACACUUAUGAGAUUUAACAAUAUAAAAACAAGCUCAAGGAUUAACGCCCCUUAUCACAUUUAAAAUCUUUUUUAUAAUACUUAAAAUACUGUAUAUACACAACUAUGAGCUUUAGAUAUCUACAUAUUAUGACUUUGUCUUCUAUUAAAGGCUUUGUUAUGACUAGAAUUACUAGUAAUGUAAAAUAACAAUUACAAUAUUAGAAAAUCUAAUUCAAAUUUGGGCUUCUUUAAUUUCCUGGAGGAAUUGGUUGUGAUAGCUAAGUAAUCACACAAAUUAACACAGUGGAAAUGUCUAAUACGCUUGUACUAUCCUGUAAGCACUAAGGGAGUUAGUUUGGGACUGGAAGUCUACGCUGGUGACUAGAAAUAGCAGUGUGUUGUGUUGUGGUUUCGAACAUUAAUGUGUACGUUGUGGGACAGCAAGGUGUAGAAUUAUUGUUUAAUUAAUAGAUCCACAAUAUUAGAAUGUUCCAAAUUCAAUAUCAUUACUCCAUCAGUUUGUCAUCAUAACUUAUAUUCAUAUCAUUAAACAUUUACAUUGUCAA